GCUAAUAGAAUGCCUGGGGAGGAGAGAAGGAAGGAAUUCUUCCUGAGGAAAGCUUUCAAGCUGAAGAUGAAUCUCAAGGGAGGUUAAAAUGCUUGCAUGGUGGUAAGCCCAGCCUCAAUCUUGAUUGGACUGCAACACCCUUGAGAAGACACAAUAAUGAAAUGGAAGAAACCUUACUCUCUACUUUAGACAGAUGCCAUGUUGAAGACAGGUGGACUGUUGUCCCUCAAUAAGCAAACUGACUAUACAUCGCUUGCUAUUUGGAAAUGAAUUAACAUAUUCAACACAUCACUGAGUAAAGUGAAAGUCAUCUUCAUUAAAUGAGGGAAAUAUGGGUUGUCAUCCUAACUCAUCAGAGCAACAUUUCAUGGAACCACAUGAAGACUAAUGCUAUGAUAAUGUGUCUAUUACAUGCUACCUUGAGGGGAAAAUCCAUUUAUGAUCCUGGACAUAUUUGAACCUUUCUAUGCCUUGCUGUCCAUGUGAAAAUGAAGUCUUCUAUAUAGUUGCUCCUGGAUAUAAGGAUUGUCAGCCUGUCCUCCUUAAAUCUGUUGGCUCCUGGCCCUAACUCCAUUCUUGCAUGACAGAGUGUGGAACAAGGAGCAGAAGUUCUGCAGGGGAGGCUGAGGACCACCCAGACCUUAUUCACUCGUCCUUCCCCUUCCACCCCCAGGAUGUCCAUACCCUACAGCUGCCAGCUUUAAUAAAGGACAAUGCACAACAUCCAAUCACAUUUGAAUGUCAGAUAAACAAUGAAUAAUUUUAUAGCACAAGUGCUAUAGCACAAAUAUUUGUGACAUAUCUAUAAUAAAAUUAUUUGGUUUUUUAGAUGAAAUUCAAAUUUAACUGGAUGUCCCGUAUUUUAUCUGACACCCCUCUCAUGCAGCCCAAAUUCAUUCAAAGAAUCUGUUGCAAGAAGAAAACAAUUGCUUUUAACCUCUUUCCCAUUAUCUUCCUCACUCACACAGAAUGGCAGAAGUCCCCAGUGUAGUUUUUACUUCGUUUUUAUACUUCCAUAUUAUGCCAUCAAUGUAAAUCACCAGAUAAAUCUGCCAUGCUUUUAUUUCUACUGUGGAGUCACAUGUGACUAGAGUUGUUAGGAUCUAUAUCCACAAACUAUGGCGGAAUUCUUUAACAGUCAAAAAUACCC